rfam:Nasonia vitripennis chromosome 1, whole genome shotgun sequence.
CAAUCAGCCCUUUUCAGGGCUACCAAAAUUUUAUAACGUAGUUCA